rnacentral:rRNA from 1 species
CGGCGUGGAUUAGGCAUGCAAGUCGAACGAAUCCCGGGGGCAACUCCGGGGGAAGUGGCGAAAGGGGCAGUAAGGCGUGGCUAACCUACCCCGGGGACGGGCAUAGCCAUCCUAACGGAUGGGUAAUACCUGGCGAUGCGGCGGAGGGGCAUCUCUUUGCCGUGAAACGAAUUUCGCCUCGGGAGGGGGUCACGUGCUAUUACCUGGUUGGCGGGGUAACGGCCCACCAAGGGGAAGAUGGCUAGCGGGUGUGAGAGCACGACCCGCGCCACUGGCACUGAGACACUGGCCAGACUCCUACGGGAGGCUGCAGUCGAGGAUCUUCGGCAAUGGGCGCAAGCCUGACCGAGCGACGCCGCGUGUGCGAUGAAGGCCUUCGGGUUGUAAAGCACUGUCGAGGGGGAGGAAGCCCGCGAGGGUUGACCUAUCCCUGGAGGAAGCACGGGCUAAGUUCGUGCCAGCAGCCGCGGUAAGACGAACCGUGCGAACGUUGUUCGGAUUCACUGGGCUUAAAGGGCGCGUANGCGGCUUGCCAAGUCAGGGGUGAAAUCUUUCGGCUCAACCGGAAAAGUGCUUCUGAUACUGGCGGGCUG